CACAGGUGGUGGUGGGAGGCACUGGGGUGGGGCUGUGAGAGCCUGCACAGCUCUACUUCUCACUGGCAUGUUCGUGAUGUGACGGCAGGACUGCCACAAGUGGUGCUGGAACCGGGACCUGAGUAUCGAGGGAUCCAGUGAAGGACACCACAGAGAAGAACGAGGCCUCAAUGAAAAGGUAAGGAGUGGUGAAUUUUCUUGUAAAUAUU
rnacentral:lncRNA from 1 species